GACGAACGCUGGCGGCGUGCCUAAUACAUGCAAGUCGAACGCAGUGGGGACGGGUGAGUAACACGUGGGUAACCUCCCAUCAGAGGGGAUAACACUUGGAAACAGGUGCUAAACCGAUACUGAUGGAUGGACCCCCGGUGCAUUAUCUAGUUGGGUAGGUCACGGCUCACCAAGGCCACUAUGCAUCGCCGAGCUGAGAGGGUGAGAGGCCACACUGUGACUGAGACACGGCCCAGACUCCUACGGGAGGCAGCAGUAGGGAAUCUGCGGAAAUGGACGAAAGGCUGACCGAGCAACGCCGGGUGAGUGAAGAAGGUUUUCGGAUCGUAAAACUCUGUUGUUAGAGAAGCGGUAUCUAACCAGAAAGCCACGGCUAACUACGUGCCAGCAGCCGCGGUAAUUC
rnacentral:rRNA from 1 species